GGAGGGUACAGCUCAAGUAGUAGGGCACAUGCUUAGCAUGCAUGAGGUUCUGGGUUCAAUCCCCAGGACCUCCC
rnacentral:tRNA from 1 species